UGGGGAAUAUUGGACAAUGGGCGAAAGCCUGAUCCAGCCAUGCCGCGUGUGUGAAGAAGGUCUUCGGAUUGUAAAGCACUUUAAGUUGGGAGGAAGGGCAGUUACCUAAUACGUAUCUGUUUUGACGUUACCGACAGAAUAAGCACCGGCUAACUCUGUGCCAGCAGCCGCGGUAAUACAGAGGGUGCAAGCGUUAAUCGGAAUUACUGGGCGUAAAGCGCGCGUAGGUGGUUUGUUAAGUUGGAUGUGAAAUCCCCGGGCUCAACCUGGGAACUGCAUUCAAAACUGACAAGCUAGAGUAUGGUAGAGGGUGGUGGAAUUUCCUGUGUAGCGGUGAAAUGCGUAGAUAUAGGAAGGAACACCAGUGGCGAAGGCGACCACCUGGACUGAUACUGACACUGAGGUGCGAAAGCGUGGGGAGCAAGCAGGAUUAGAUACCCCCGUAGUCCCUGAGCGGGCUGGCAAGGCGCAU
rnacentral:rRNA from 1 species